GCCCCACACAGGGCUAGCUCAGUCCGUGGAGCACGAGACUCCGAAUCUCAGAGUUGUGGGUUUGAGUCCCGUGCUGGACA